AUGAACACACUUAUUCUCUCCGAUAAUCAAAUCACAGGCCCAAUACCUCCAGAACUAGGCAACCUCCCUAUGCUAAACCAACUUAUGCUCUACCAAAAUCAAAUCAUAGGCUCAAUACCCACAGAACUAGGAAACCUCACUAUGCUCAAUAACCUUGUUCUCUACCAAAAUCAAAUCACAGGCCCAAUACCUUCAGAAUUGGGCAAGCUGCUAAAUCUCCAAGCAUUGGAAUUGUCAGUCAACCAAAUAUUUGGCUCUAUUCCUGCCAGCUUAGGAAAUAUUACCAACCUAGUAGCAUUAUCCCUCUAUUUUAAUCAGAUAACUGGUCCCAUCCCCAAAGAGAUUGGCAAUCUGAUGAACCUCGAAACUUUAAGGUUGCAUCUGAACCAAAUUUCAGGAUCAAUACCAAAAACUUUUGGGAAGAUGCAAAGUAUCCAUGAUCUGACAAUCUACAAUAACACACUAUCAGGUUAUCUUCCUCCGGAGUUUGACAAUCUCACAAACCUUGUUAAUCUUUCGAUAUCUAGCAACCCACUUUCAGGACCUUUACCUGCAAAUAUAUGUUCAGGUGGAAAACUUCAAUUUCUCAGUGUCUUUAAUGAUAUGUUCAAUGGCCCCAUUCCAAGGAGUUUAAAGACAUGCACAAGUUUAGUUAUAGUUGACAUUCAAUGGAACCAACUAAUAGGUGAUAUAUCUCAGGAUUUUGGUGUGUAUCCACAUCUCAAAUGGAUGAACUUGGCAUCCAAUAGAAUCUCUGGUCACAUCUCACCAAAUCUAGGUGCAUCUACCCAGCUAACAGUACUAACUCUAGCAGAUAAUAUGAUCAUGGGUUCCAUACCUAGUAUCAUUUUCAAAUUGUCCAACCUAGCAGUACUAGGAUUCGAUUCUAAUCAUCUCAGUGGUGAGAUUCCACCUGAAAUCUUUAGUUUAGCAAAUCUAUAUUACCUAAACUUGUCAUCGAACCAGUUAUCUGGAUCCAUACCCACACAUAUGGAAAAGUUAAGUAGUCUUCAAUACCUUGAUAUAUCUUGGAACAGACUGAGUGGAUUAAUACCUAAGGAACUAGGAGCAUGCAAGAAACUAUUGUCCCUAAAGAUCAACAACAACAACUUCAGUGGGUAUUUGCCUGGUGCGAUUGGAAAUUUAGAAGGCCUGCAGAUGCGGUUAGAUGUGAGCUGCAAUAACCUUAGUGGUGUGUUGCCACAACAACUUGGGAAGUUGAAGAUGCUAGAAUUUCUGAAUUUAUCCCAUGAUCAGUUCAAUGGCAGCAUUCCAUCCUCCUUUGCAAGCAUGGUGAGUCUUUCAAAACUUGAUGUGUCCUACAACAACUUGGAAGGACCAGUCCCAACAACAUGGCAUCUCCAAAAUGCUUCAGAAAGUUGGUUUCUUCCCAAUAAAGGUCUGUGUGGUAACCUCUCUGGACUGACUCCUUGUUAUUCAACUCUACUAGUUGGCCGCCAUAAACCUAAGACACUUGGUUUGCUUUUGCCAAGUGUUCUUGUGGUGGGUUUCGCCAUUGUUGCUGCAAUUGUUGUCUUAAUAAUUCUUAGUCGUAAAAAGAGGAAACCACAAGAAGGUGUCACAGCUGAACCAAGAGACCUAUUUUCUGUUUGGAAUUUUGAUGGAAGAUUGGCAUUUGAUGAUAUUGUAAGGGCAACCGAAGACUUCAACGACAAGUACGUCACUGGAACAGGAGGAUACGGCAAAGUAUACAAGUCACAACUUCAAGAUGGGCAGCUAGUUGCUGUGAAGAAGCUUCACCUGACUGAAGAAGAGUUGGAUGACGAAAGAAGAUUUCUUAGAGAAAUGGAAAUCUUAUCACAGAUCCGACAGCGAAGCAUUGUCAAAAUGUAUGGAUUCUGCUCCCAUCCAGCAUAUAAAUUUCUUGUGUACAAUUACAUUGAGCAGGGCAGCCUCCGCAGGACAUUGGAAAAUGAGGAGUUAGCAAAGGAAUUAGAUUGGAAGAAGAGAAUUGCUCUUGCAACUGAUGUGGCUCAAGCAAUAGCUUAUUUGCACCACGAAUGCAGUCCACCGAUAAUCCAUCGAGAUAUCACAAGCAACAACAUCUUACUUGAUACAACCUUUAAGGUUUUUGUCUCGGAUUUCGGCACGGCAAGGAUUCUUAAGCCCGAUUCAUCAAACUGGAGUGCACUAGCAGGGACAUAUGGCUACAUAGCUCCUGAACUCUCAUACACAUCAGUCGUGACUGAGAAAUGUGAUGUCUAUAGCUUUGGCGUGAUGGGGAAGCAUCCAAGGGAUCUAUUAGACGGUAGUUUGUCGAGCGGGGAACAAGCUAUGCUGGUGAAAUAUAUUAUAGACCAACGGCCGGCAACACCAAUAACAACAGAAGAGAAUAGCUUAGCUCUGCUCAUCAAGCUGGCCUUUUCUUGCUUGGAAUCUUCUCCACAAGCAAGGCUAACCAUGCGGGAGGCAUACCAAACACUCAUCCAGCGACCCUCUUCUAGUUCCUGCCCCGUGCCCUUUAGUGCACUUACAUUACAGCAAGUAAGGGACUCAUGUUGA
rnacentral:rRNA from 1 species